rnacentral:rRNA from 1 species
GACGAACGCUGGCGGCGUGCUUAACACGUGCAAGUCGAACGGUGAAGCGCCUUCCUUUUUGGUGGGUGUGGAUGAGUGGCGAACGGGUGAGUAACACGUGAGUAACCUGCCCCCUUCUUCUGGAUAACCGCAUGAAAGUGUGGCUAAUACGGGAUAUUCUGGGUCUGUCGCAUGAUGGGUCUGGGAAAGAUAUUGUUUCGGUGGGGGAUGGGCUCGCGGCCUAUCAGCUUGUUGGUGGGGUGAUGGCCUACCAAGGCGGUGACGGGUAGCCGGCCUGAGAGGGUGGCCGGUCACACUGGGACUGAGGCACGGCCCAGACUCCUACGGGAGGCAGCAGUGGGGAAUAUUGCACAAUGGGCGCAAGCCUGAUGCAGCGACGCCGCGUGAGGGAUGGAGGCCUUCGGGUUGUGAACCUCUUUCGCCAGUGAAGCAGGCCUGCCUCGUUUGUGGGUGGGUUGACGGUAGCUGGAUAAGAAGCGCCGGCUAACUACGUG